GAAUCUUUACAAUAUACAAGCACAUGUGGCUGGAACACACAUCUCAGCAUCUCGGACGGUCGCGCAGCGCCUUAGACAUCUUCGCUUCUCAAGAGCUAUUCGCUGGCCUGGCCAUGCCUCAGCCCCAUCUGCCAAAAAACUAGGAUUCCUCGUAUCUUCCCGGGGCGUUGCUCUGGUAGCCAAGGAAUGCAUUUGAAGUCUGAAGGCAUUACUUGCAGAAGCCCAAUCCUCAGAUAAGAGGAAUGUCGGUAACAGCCCUAGCUCCUAUGUUUAAGGGAUCCCCACAGGAAUCCUAGCCCUACAUCCGGAUCUUAACCGAGCAAUUUUCGAAGCCGUAUUCUCACACCCCAUUACCUUUCAGGGCUUAGCGCCGGCUCCGGGAAGGGAGGCCUGCUAGGAUUUAUGGGAACUGCAGGGGAGAAGGGCAGGCUUGGGACCAAAUCCUUUGGAAGCACGGAGACCACGGGCCAGUGUGACCGGCUGCAGUUGGUUUUCUGUAACGGAGAACGUUGACGUUCAAUGGCAACACAUCCUAGGCCAAGAAGUGGAGAGAGUCAAAGUAGAAAGGAACAAGGGAGCGUGGAGGGAUGCAAAAUGGUGUAAAUAAAUAAGGGGAAAGACGCCCUCAAGAAGGGGGUUUUGAAAUCCCGCAACUGUGAGGAGAAAAAGGAGACAAAGAAGAAAGAAAAUCGAACAUGUAAUGGGAAAGACGGGAUCCAGGAGGGAGGGAAGGCAGGCAGGGAGGCAGGCAGGCGGGAGGCCAGCCCGGAGGGGGAGAGGGGAAAGGAAGCGAAGGUAAGGGGAAAAUUUUUUUUGAAAGGGGGUUAAAGAAGAGAUAAGACGGCGAAGGGAAUGCAGAAGAAACCCAGGAAAAGCCAAAUAAUUUAAAAUUAAGUCAGGAGAGCUUUGAACGGCGAUGUUUCUGAAAUUCUUUCCAACGCGCUCCGGCGACCCGCCAAGGCACACGCGUCUAAACUCUUCAAUGAGCUUUCGCUCCGCUCGCGGCUGGGCACAUAAAGGCAUUUCCGACGAAAGCUAAUUGGCGAGCUGCGGCUAAAAGGCCAGCGCGGCGGGGACGGCAGGAGGGCGACAGCGCCCCGGCUCCCGCGGUCCUGACUGCUGGUCGUCGAGCCUGGCGCGCCGGAGGCCGGGAGUCGGCCUGCUGCCUCUCUCUCCGGCCGGCCGGGGAGGCCACGCGGUGCGGGCCGGAGCCCGGGGGCCUGCGUGGCGGCCCUGUGUCCCCGCGCCCCGGGGUCCAGGCUCCCCGCGCCUGGGGGUGGAGCCGGCAAAAGCUCAGCGCGCAGAGGCGCGCGCGGCGCUGGCGCGGGUCCGCCGGGAACCCACAACCGCCUUUCUCCAGCGGGCGCGCUCAGGCCUCUUUACAACACAAACCUAUAAUUUACACAUUUUGAUUCCGCCUGUAAUUUCGCCCUCCGAGCUCCGGCGCCAUAAAACUCGUGGGGCCUGGCAAAGGGACCCCCACCCCACCCCCCAAGGCCCCAGCUCUCCCCGAAGGUCCCUGCGCUGCUCCAAAUAAUCGCGUGGACGGCGGCCAAGAAUAACUGGAAAAUAAACACAACUCCCCGGCCUCUGAGCGCAGGCCCUGGGUCUCCCUCCCGGCCCCACCUGGCUCGGGGGCUCGGGGGAGGCGCGGAGGCCGUGCCGAGAGCUCUGCGCUCCGAGCGCUGCCUGGAACUCCGGAACCGUAACUGAACUACUCAAAACUGGGGACCCACCGGCUGGCCUUUGUCCCGCCGUCUCUCCUAGCGGGAAAAUUGUCUGGCUUCCGACCUCUGUCCGGAAAAAAAAAAAAAAAAAAAAAAAAAAACGAACAACGAAGAAAAAGACCCAACACGGACUGGAGGGAGAGUUUUCUCCUCUAAACUCCGAAACUUUCCCGAUUAGAUGGGAGAUCUCAACCUCGUGCCCCUCGUUAACACCCCGAGGUCCGAGCGUGUGGGUGCGUGUCUAGGGCCGUGCGAAAGUGCAAUGGCGGCGAUGCACCCUAAUUUGCGUGUGUGCGAUGAAGCGUACGCUCGCUAGCGCGUGCAGACAACUGGGCGCGCAAAGACGAUCCGGUCUGCAGACGGUUAUGCGCAAAUUAAGCGUGGCUCGGGAUCUGCAAACAGCAUAUGCCAGCGAUGAUCGGUGUGCAAAUAAUGCCGACGUGCCAGCGACUUGGGGUGCAGCUAGUACCUCUCCGUGCAUAUGCUUCAGUGGGCAAGUUGUUCCGCGUGCAAGUGAGCUGGGGUUCGCGCCAAUGAUUUCCACCGCUGCACACGAUCGUGCUGGUGUGUGGUGCCUUUACAGAGCCAAAGAAAGGGCUCCAAAAAAUCGUUUCUGGGCGGUUAGGUAGACGUCGCAUCGUCCGGACCGCCUAAGUCCUGAGAAGCAGCGCGUAAAAGAAAACCUGCCCUGCUUCCCACCGUGCCCUCUCCCUGCCGGCUCUGCCUUCUGGUGCGGAAGGGAAAGAAGAGAGGGUAGAUGUUUGCAGGUCCUCCCUCUGCCUGGCCCAAGCUUCCAGCUCCGCGGGGUCGACGUUCUCCAGGAGCGGCGCGCCUUUGCCCUCGCCCCGCGCUGCGCUGUCACGAGUUUCCUCGGACGCACGGUCUCCUAGGUGUCCGCGGGUUAACUGGCUGCCGCCACGGAGUCGCCGGAGCCUGCCUGGGCUUUCUAGUGCCCGGGAGCCUCCUAAAACCUUCCCCGGGCCGGGUGCAACCCGCCCGGGGCAGCGCCACCGGGAGAAAGCGAAAGUCCUCGCGUUUUUGCCAGCGGCUCGUGCGCGCUGCGAAACCCCAGUCGGCAACCACUGGGGAAACAGUGGGUUAGCAAGCCCCUGUGUCCCCCACGGGCACUGCAGUGGCGAAGCACGUCCUGGCUAAGGCAGUCAGUCCCUCCCAGUGCGCACACGUGUGCCCAGAAUUAUAAUACAAUAUAACACAUCGUAAUAUCGGAUAUUAUACCGCGUUUACCUUCCAUUAGGAUGUGUAUAUUGUGUUAGGCUGUGCUUAUGUGUUUGUUACGACGUGCUGUGAUAUUGUAUCUUUCAAUCUCACUGCUAUGUGCCGCGCACCUACCGGCUUAUUUGAUCCCCACAAAGACCCCGGAGGCCAGACUCCUUUCUCCCUCUGCGCCCUAGAGGUACAGAGAGGGAAAACAUUUGCCCAGCGUUACCCAGCUAGAAAGGGGGCAGGGCUUGGAUUGGAACCCAGAGCCUGAAAACUGGCAGUAGGGGUGAGAAGGGGACAUCUACCCACACCGCUCCACGGGAAGGUAUCCUACAUGCACACUGCCCUUUCUGGACUAGACCCACGACGCAUGGAUGUACAUGUAUUGCAUUAGCACCCCGUGGCUGCCUGCGCUCCACAACCCUCUGGCUGAGAACUCGUGCCGACCUGCCUCUCUUCUCCUAACCACCCUAUGAGGGAAGGAUGGUUAUCAUCACGGUUCGCAGAGGAGGAAGAGGGGGUUCAGAGAGGUUAGAUAAUUUGCCCAAUGCCACUGGGCAAGUGAGGGGAGAGUUUCAGCUCAGGCAUUCGGACUCCAGAACGAUUCUGAUUUUGAUAACGACAUUCCCAACCCCGCUCCCUCCCCAGGCAUCCCCGUUUAAUCGGAGUCCAAAGGUAGGUGGGGGACCCAUGGUAGAGAACAGGUUUUAGUGAGAGGAUUGUUCGAGGUAAUAAAAACUCUGGAUGUCCUCUCCAAGAGGAAGGAGGUCUAUGAGCUAAGGAAAGUUUUGGGGAACGUGAGUGGGGUCCAGGACCUUGCCGGUGACUCAGGUACAGUUCCACAGUCGUCCUUGGGAGACCAAAGAGCAGAGGAUGAGUCCUUCACAAAUCCUAACCUCCUUUUUGCACGAAGUUGCAGGGGCCCUCACGGGAAUACAGCCACAGGACCCCGAUUCAUCCCCUCCCUCCAAUUGCAAAAGCCAAGGGGUCACUGCGCCCUCCAGAAUGUCCCCCAAGACCAGAGGGCAAUAGCCAAGCCAGGUCUCCCAGCAGCUCCUGGAGGAGGGGACUUUUCCACCUCGCUUUUCAGACUUUUCUGCUUCCAGGCGGAGCUCUAUACCCUGGGAAAUGAAAGCCAGGGAAAGAAUCCAGACCCAGCCCGCCUGGAUUAAUCCAACCCCCGGCCCCCGCCGGGCUUUCUUUCCAAACACGCUGAUACCCAAAUUGCUGGGGAAGCUUUGUCACCGGCGUUUGGACGUGUAGCCUGAACCCCCACCCUCGGGCUCUGCCACAAGCACAAGAUGCCAGAGGGACCCUCUCCCCUGGAGCGGCCCUACAGGAAAUGCCAGGGUCAGAAAUUGGCGUCCGGGCACAGAGCGGUAUCCGCUAGAGGGUGAGAUCUGACGGACAUUUCCGAAGCUGAAAAAGUCAACGGGAUUGUCCCCCAACCCAGGCCAACGGACCGUCCCGGCUGUCCCCUGCCCCCGCUGGGUUUGAGGCUUGUGCAGCUGCUAAGUACCGGGAGAGGGCUGUUCAAACCGAACACACAAAUACAGGAUUUUUUGUUUCA